AGGGCACCACCAGGAGUGGAGCCUGCGGCUUAAUUUGACUCAACACGGGAAAACUCACCCGGCCCGGACACUGGAAGGAUUGACAGAUUGAGAGCUCUUUCUUGAUUCAGUGGGUGGUGGUGCAUGGCCGUUCUUAGUUGGUGGAGUGAUUUGUCUGGUUAAUUCCGAUAACGAACGAGACUCUAGCCUACUAAAUAGAUUGUCGGGUUACAAACCCCGGCUAGACUUCUUAGAGGGACAGGCGGUGAUUCAACCGCACGAAAGAGAGCAAUAACAGGUCUGUGAUGCCCUUAGAUGUCCGGGGCCGCACGCGCGCUACACUGAAGUGAUCAGCGUGCUUUUGUAACCUACUCGGGCUGGACGGGGGAACCAAUGAAACCUUCUUCGUGAUUGGGAUGGGGGAUGGUAUUUAUUCCCCUUGAACGAGGAAUUCCCUUCAACGGGAAUGGAUUAGCUGACUGUGAUUACUCCCCUGCCCUUUGUACACACCGCCCGUCGCUACUCCUAAUCGAGUGUUGA
rnacentral:rRNA from 1 species